UACGUAGGUCCCGAGCGUUGUCCGGAUUUAUUGAGCGUAAAGCGAGCGCAGGUGGUUUAUUAAGUCUGGUGUAAAAGGCAGUGGCUCAACCAUUGUAUGCAUUGGAAACUGGUAGACUUGAGUGCAGGAGAGGAGAAUGGAAUUCCAUGUGUAGCGGUGAAAUGCGUAGAUAUAUGGAGGAACACCGAUGGCGAAAGCGGCUCUCUGGCCUGUAACUGACACUGAGGCUCGAAAGCGUGGGGAGCAAACAGG
rnacentral:rRNA from 1 species